rfam:Pirellula sp. SH-Sr6A, complete genome.
AACCGCCGUAUACGGAACCGUACGUACGGUGGUGUGGGAGGACGGCGGGAGUAAUCCCGCCUCCUACCCGAU